rnacentral:rRNA from 1 species
GACGUAGGGGGCGAGCGUUGUCCGGAUUUAUUGGGCGUAAAGCGUGCGUAGGCGGCUGCGCAAGUCGGGUGUGAAACCCCGGGGCUCAACCCCGGAACUGCAUCCGAUACUGCGUGGCUAGAGGUAGGUAGGGGAGAUCGGAAUUCCCGGUGUAGCGGUGAAAUGCGCAGAUAUCAGGAGGAACACCGGUGGCGAAGGCGGAUCUCUGGGCCUUACCUGACGCUCAGGCACGAAAGCUAGGGGAGCGAACAGG